rnacentral:rRNA from 1 species
UUGAAGAUGUAAAUUUUUAAAAACUAAAUGAAUAAAAGCUAUGGUCUUUAAAGUUAAAGAAUUUGGCGGUAUUUUAGUCUAUUCAGAGGAACCUGUCCUAUAAUUGAUGAUCCACGAUUUAUUCUACCAAUAUUAUUAAUUUGUAUAUCGUCGUAGUUUAAAUAUUUUAGAAGAAUAAUAAUAUUUAAAAUUUUUUAUUAAGAAAAGAAAUCAGAUCAAGAUGCAGUUUAUAUAUUGGGAGAGAUGGGUUACAAUAAAUUUAUUUAUAGAUAAAUAAUUGAAAAUUAUUUUGAAAUUGGAUUUGAAAGUAAUUUUAUUUAUUUUUAUAAAAUGAUUCUAGCUCUAAAAUAUG